rnacentral:rRNA from 1 species
GCGCACGGGUGAGUAACACGUAGGUAACGUACCCUAGAGCCCGGGAUAACCAGUCGAAAGACUGGCUAAUACCGGAUACGACUACGAAAGCUCCGGCUUUUGUAGUGAAAGAUGGCCUCUAUUUAUAAGCUAUCACUCCUGGAUCGGCCUGCGCACCAUUAGCUAGUUGGUGAGGUAAUGGCUCACCAAGGCUGAGAUGGUUAGCUGGUCUGAGAGGAUGGCCAGCCACACUGGGACUGAGACACGGCCCAGACUCCUACGGGAGGCAGCAGUGGGGAAUAUUGCGCAAUGGGGGAAACCCUGACGCAGCGACGCCGCGUGGGUGAUGAAGGCCUUCGGGUCGUAAAGCCCUGUCGGGAGGGAAGAAACGGUUCGGACCUAAUACGUCCGAACAUUGACGGUACCUCCUAAGGAAGCACCGGCUAACUCCGUGCCAGCAGCCGCGGUAA